UAGAAAAAUCUUGUCCGUCUUUCACAGGUCAAAAUGCUGGACAGAUUUGGAUGAAACUUCAUAGGAGUGAUCAGUACCAAGCCUAGGUUUGCAUAUCGCAGACACGUUCUGUUUUGCUGUAGAAAAUGGCUGCCAGAGGUAUACAUAGGGUGGAGAGAUUCAGGUUUACCACCUGAGUACAAUACAUUAUUACAGCAGUCACAACAUGAGAGCAGUGUUAACCAGUCUGACACCAUGUAUAAUAUGGCUUACUACCCGGAAAUGAAGACCUUCUACCAACAAUCAGGUCCUGUACCCCUUAUGCCACUGCAGCCCUGCUACAGGUCCAGGCUUAAGGACAGAAUGCAAGAAAACAGAUUCCAUGGUAGCUAACUGACAGAGCCAGGAGGACUGCAGUGAAUUUCAUUCAAGUUCAGAUAAUGUGUAUGAGGAAGGAAACAACCAGUUUUUAAAUGAGGGAGAUUUUGCUAAUGCUGUUAUUAGGGCUGCUGAGCUGUCUGGCCUGACUGUUGUGGAUACAACAGUCAGUGUUUCAAACCCUUAACAAGUAGUGACCAUCCGCUUGGACUUGCUUCCCAAGGAAAUUUUUACGAAGUCAUUGACUAUCAACAUGACAUGGAGACAGAAUGCCCUGAUCAAACCAAGUUUCCGGCCACUUUCUGGCAACCAAUGAAAGAGCUGAGAAUACCGUCGGGAGUUGCCAGCACCUGUACCAUCAGUGUUGAGUCUUCCACAAAAUAACACAGACUUUGAGCAUUGCUUCUCUCAGGUCAGAAAAAUGCAGUGAGAUAACAGAAGUAACUUAUCAAUAAACUAUUUCCUGUCUAUCAGUAAUAAUUGGACAGUUGCUGAAUGUUACCAUGGAUCUACAGAAAGCUGGUGGACAGUCAUGGAUCUGCUGAAAUCUGGAGGGCAGUUACUGAAUGUUACCAUGGAUUUGCUGAAAGCUGGUGGACAGUUACUGAAUAUUACCAUGGAUCUGCUGAAAGCUGGUGGGCAGUUAAUGAAUGUUAGCAUGGAUCUGUUGAAAGCUGGUGGACAGUUACUAAAUGUUACCAAGGAUCUGCUGAAAGCUGGUGGGCAGUUAAUGAAUGUUACCAAGGAUCUGCUGAAAGCUGGUGGACAGUAAUGUUACUGAAUGUUACCAUGGAUCUGCUGAAAGCUGGUGGACAGUCAUGGAUCAGCUGAAAUCUGGAGGGCAGUUACUGAAUGUUACCAUGGAUCUGCUGAAAGCUGGUGGACAGUUACUGAAUAUUACCAUGGAUCUGCUGAAAGCUGGUGGGCAGUUAAUGAAUGUUACCAUGGAUCUGUUGAAAGCUGGUGGACAGUUACUGAAUAUUACCAAGGAUCUGCUGAAAGCUGGUGGACAGUAAUGUUACUGAAUAUUACCAGAGAUCUGCUGAAAGCUGGUGGACAGUAAUGUUACUGAAUGAUACCAGGGAUCUACAGUUACUGAAUGUUACCAGGGAUCUGUGGAAAGUUACUGAAGGUUACUUUGGAUCUGCUGAAAGCUGGUGGACAGUUACUGAAUGUUACCAAGCAUCUGCUGAAAGCUGGUGGACAGUUACUGAAUGUUACCAGGGAACUGCAAAAAGCUGGUGGACAGUUACUGAAUGUUACCAGGGAUCUGCUGAAAGCUGGUGGACAGUUACUGAAUGUUACCAGGGAUCUGCUGAAAGCUGGUGGACAGUUACUGAAUGUUACCAGGGAUCUGCUGAAAGCUGGUGGACAGUUACUGAAUGUUACCAGGGAUCUGCUGAAAGCUGAUGGACAGUUACUGAAUAUUACCAAGCAUCUGCUGAAAGCUGGUGGACAGUUACUGAAUGUUUUCAGGGAUCUGCUGAAUGCUAUAAAGAUACAUAAAGGAAUAUUAAAGGUAGUUAACAUGACAUUAAAGAAUGUUCAGUUGUUACAGUGAAAUAGAUCUUAAAAAUAUUAAAAUCAAGUACAAAUUUGAUGGUUGAAUAUAUACAUUAAAACUAAUACUGAAUGUGACAUUUAAAUUAAAGGAUGUUCAUAUGUGCCAGAGAUAUAGACAUACAACAUAUCAAAUACAAAAAUGAUAGUUUUAUAAUUAAGAUAUUGAAAAGAUAAA